UUUCUGAAGUGCAUGAGUUUGAGAAACCAAAUGACGUGAAAGCAUUAGAGUUAAUGAACGAGUGUGCCAUUGCUGUUAUGGAGCAGUUUCCAGAUGUUAUAUUCUCGUAUGGUUGCGCUGGUGAGCACAGUUUCAUAUUCCAAAAGAAAACCAAGUUCUACAAGCGGCGCAGCAGCAAGAUAAGCUCUGUAUUGUGUCUUUAUUU